rnacentral:rRNA from 1 species
AAGCUCGUAGUUGAAUUUCGAGACCGGUCUACUGGUCGUGCUGUUGUACGUACUGGUAUAAUCGGUUUCUCUCUUCUGACGAACUAUAAUGCCAUUAAUUUGGUGUUUUAGGGAAUCAGGACUGUUACUUUGAAAAAAUUAGAGUGUUUAAAGCAGGCUCACGCUUGAAUACAUUAGCAUGGAAUAACGAAAUAGGACGUUUGAUUUUAUUUUGUUGGUUUCUAGGAUCGACGUAAUGAUUAAUAGGGAUAGUUGGG